UACGGAGGGUGCAAGCGUUAUCCGGAUUUACUGGGUUUAAAGGGUGUGUAGGCGGACUUUUAAGUCAGCGGUGAAAUCUCCGGGCUCAACCCGGAAACUGCCAUUGAUACUAAAGGUCUUGAAUGUUGUUGAGGUGGGCGGAACGGGUCAUGUAGCGGUGAAAUGCAUAGAUAUGACCCGGAACACCGAUUGCGAAGGCAGCCCACUAAGCAACGAUUGACGCUGAGGCACGAAAGCGUGGGGAUCAAACAGG
rnacentral:rRNA from 1 species